GCUGUAUUCACAUACAGUGCCAUUGCACUGUCUGUAUCUAGCAAGCCACACAUCACUACUGCGUUUUGCAGCUUCCGUUCCACAAUCCCUGGUCUGUGAGUUACCUCCUCUGGUUACUAUGCUGUGUCGAUGUCAUCGUAGUCAUCGUCAGAUGAAGAGUUUUGGUCGGGGCUCACAGGAGAGUAGAGGGGGCCGUCAUCUUCAUCACCUAAUGAUCGGACAAUAAUAAAGAUCAGCAAAUGUGA